UGUCGCAUAAGCAUCUGUGUACACUGAAAUGAAAAGAAAAAACAAGUCUUUGCUCGAUUUUUAUGUGAGUGUUGACUGAAGAGUGGGCUCCAUCUGUGUAAACUCUCUGAAAUAGUGACUUCCUCUCCAUGUCUUAAACAGACGCUUGAGGCAAACCGCAGAGAAGUCACCAUACAUGUCCCUGAUGGAAGAGGACCUGAGAUUACCUCAAUAUAGCCUAUAAGAUGCUCUUCUCUUGGACGUUCUUGAAAUACUUUCAGUAAAAUCUACAAAAAAAGGGUUGGAGGACAAAAGCAUGCUCCGGCCAUACAUCUGGAAACACUCUAAACCAACAUCCUGGUAUAAAUUUGCAAAACGCAAUACAGGCCGGAUUGUGCGCGGGACGGACGCGGGGUGCAUACAAAUGGCCCCCCCGUCUAAAGUACCCCCUGUUUCUCUUCUGCCUCAGAAGGUAAUGUACAAUAAAUCAACAAAAGAGCAUUAAUGUCUCCGUUGAGUAUAGGAUAGGCUUCUGUUAUUGUACCUUUUUUUAAGUAUUUAAUUGGAAGGGUCCCUUGAAACAGUACACGGCUCCUUCAGAUGACUUUUCCCCAAAUCUAAGAAAAGAUUGAUAAGAAUUUCUUUCCUCCCUCUCUUAAAUCUCUUCAGGUUUUUUUUUUUUUUUUUUACAUCCCUCUCUCCCUUUCAGGAGAGCCUGCGUUUUUUACCGAAGGGAGAAUAAAGUUUCAAGUGCAUGGCAUUUGAAGGUAAGCGAGUGAAAUCGGAGGCUGGUCGUUGGGGAUAAGGCAAGGCUGGGAAAGAGGGAAGUUGGCAGUAGUGCCCAGCCAGACUCGGUGCCUUGAGCUCCCCCCUCCCUGCACCAGGUGUCUGCUACAUUUAAAUGAUACUAUUAUUCAUAGACAAGAGAGCAGGGUAUUAAAAGUCCCCCCAAAAAAUCAUUUGCAAUUGAAUACAGAUAUAAUCCUGGAAAUAUAAGUCUCCAUUUAGGCCUUGCCAUUAAGCUAACAAGGAGCCCUUUGUACAACAUGUGUGUAUUAAUCACGGUCAGGGGAAAGGGGCAGGAAGAGAGAGAGUGGGAGAGAAAAUAGAGAGCGAGUGAGUGAGCGAGGGAGGGAAAAAGAGAGAGAGAACACCAUUCGUGUGUGUUCACAUGCAAAUUGAAAUGUUGCUCAUCAAAAACGAGCUUAUCACUUUCCCUCUUGUUCUCGGCAGACUCGGCGGGCCAGCGCGAACCCCAAGUGCUUCAAAUGGGGAUAAACGGAAAAUUUAUUUGCAUUUGUGAAAUUUCAACACACUUGAUUUCUUUCAGCUGCGCAAUCUGAAGUGCGCGAGUCCAUGCGAGACGUAAAGGAAGCACACACUGCGUGCAGAUGUCACAACGACACACAGGAAUUCACUCAAUGAGCCGGGGUUUCUCAAACCUACUGUGUGGGUUUCAUUUUCCUGCAGAUCACUUUGAUUUGUGCACUUUUUCAAUGUGGCAAAUAGAGAUUUUAGAGGGCCCUCAAGGCAGCCCCCAAAUGCCCCUUACAAAACUCCUCUCCAGCAAUCAUUACAUCACCAUUUCUCUAAGCCGAUUUUCAGCAAGUCUGGCUGUGUUAUUAAAAUAGUAAUUAAUUUUUGUCCAAGGGAACAAAAGCAAGUUUUUGUCCCCCACCAAGUGUCUCUGAAGAGGCCAGGGGUGCCGGUGAGGUUCUUUCUAUCUAGUCUAUGGUCUCUAGACGUAAUCCCCAAUAGUCUGGUACAGUAUGAGCGCUUUGAUAAUGGGAUAGAAGCAGACACCCACACCGGAUCGAUCUGGAUCUCGGGAUGCGUUUGAUAGGCUGGUGUCACAAACAAGUGUGGCUCAACAAUAACGUCCGUGAGUUAGGACGUCAUUAAAGGGUUAGUUCACCCAAAAAUUACAAUUUUGUCAUUAAUUACUCACCCUUAUAUCAUUCCACACCCGUAAGACCUUCGAUAAUGGAAGCGCUGAACGUAAACAACAUAGGAGGAUGACAUAGAAGAAAAGAUAUUGUUGAAUAAAGUCAUUAUUUUUGUUUUGUUUUUGCGCACAAAAAGUAUUCUCGUCGCUUCAUAAAAUUAAGGUUGAACCACUGCAAUCAUGUUGACUAUUUUAACGAUAUCUUUAGUGCCGAGGGCUGGGUAGGUUACUUUUAAAAUGUAUUUCACUACAGAUUACAAAAUACAUUUGUAACUUGU